rnacentral:rRNA from 1 species
GAUGAACGCUGGCGGCGUGCCUAAUACAUGCAAGUCGAGCGAAUGGAUUAAGAGCUUGCUCUUAUGAAGUUAGCGGCGGACGGGUGAGUAACACGUGGGUAACCUGCCCAUAAGACUGGGAUAACUCCGGGAAACCGGGGCUAAUACCGGAUAACAUUUUGAACCGCAUGGUUCGAAAUUGAAAGGCGGCUUCGGCUGUCACUUAUGGAUGGACCCGCGUCGCAUUAGCUAGUUGGUGAGGUAACGGCUCACCAAGGCAACGAUGCGUAGCCGACCGGAGGGGGUGAUCGGCCACACUGGGACUGAGACACGGCCCAGACUCCUACGGGAGGCAACAGUAGGGAAUCUUCCGCAAUGGACGAAAGUCUGACGGAGCAACGCCGCGUGAGUGAUGAAGGCUUUCGGGUCGUAAAACUCUGUUGUUAGGGAAGAACAAGUGCUAGUUGAAUAAGCUGGCACCUUGACGGUACCUAACCAGAAAGCCACGGCUAACUACGUGCCAGCAGCCGCCGCCG